rnacentral:lncRNA from 1 species
AGAGAAGAGAUAUGAUGUUAGAUGAUAUGUGAUUUUGGGGUUUAGGGAUUUCAUUCUCGGUGUUUAGGGUUAACCGUUGUAAAAUCGUCGUAAAUGUAUCUAUUCCACGUAAUUUCGUCGUAAAUGAAAAAAUGCGGGUCUGGUAACUUCGUCGUAAACAAGGGCCUGGUAAAUUCGUCGUAAACCGACGUUUCGACGUAAUUUCGUCAUAAAUCGAAAAACGCGGGCCUGGUAACUUCGUCGUAAA